GUUCAGCACCCUGGCCCCAACACCGCUUCCCUCCGCUCGGCCCAGGGGCCCGUUCUCCAGGUCCAGCAGGAGGGGGUGGGCCGUGGAGACAAGCAGAGCACGGGUUCCGUGCUGGGGGACAUCCAAGGGAAGGGACAUCAAAGGAGUUCGGAGAGGAGACAGAGCGAAGGUAGGGAGGAGUUAGGAAGGUGCAGGGUCGUGGAGACCAAGGGAGCAGUGUUCGGGGACUGUCCCCCACGUCAGGCGCUGUCGAGAAGUCCAGUAAGAGGAGCACUGGGAAAUGGCCCGUGGCUGCACUGGUGAGGAGGCCCCGCAGACGAAGGGGAGAGCAGCUUCGAAGGCCAGUGGCUGCGCAGGGAGUAAAGGCAGUGCAGAGAGGCAGGCAUGGUGCCCAGUACGUGCUCCGGGGAAGCAGGGACAAGGAGGAGGAGGAAGGGGAUAGAGCAGCAGCUUGCUCAGGGCCGAAGUGGGCUCACACAGGACUGUGCGACCCGGCGGAGAAACUCGGGCUGGAAAUGUCCGUUUGUGAGUUGUGAGCCCAGCUGCCGGUUCAGGUCUGCAGCCAGUAGAGUACAAAGCACAGGUGGUCAGCGCAGCACCAGGGUUUAAGGACUGGGCGAAGGACGAGGAGCCAGAGAUGGAGAUGGAAAAAGAGCUGUCAGAAGGACAGCUGCAUCCAGAAUCAGGAGUCCUGCUGCGGCUGGGGACCCAGGACUGCCAGAAUUCUGCCCCAGCCCGUAUAUGGUGUAGACAACACGGUGUAGACAGCUCUGUCCUGGACACACAAUAUCCAGCGGGAGAAAGAGUUUCUGCGGAAGCUGGUGAAAGCACGAGUCAUCACUGACCUAACCAGCGGCAUCUGAGGUGGGCCCAGCACGCGGCCACGGAGGUCCUGGCACCGCCAAGAGGAAGCAGUAAGCACCGCCACCUGCCCACUCCAUUGGCCUCAGUCUGGCUCCCCCUGAAAGGUGCAGGAGUCUUCAGACCCAGAGAAGGACAGUGCCAAGUGGCCGCAGGGGUGGGCGAGGCCUUGGCAGGGCAGCCAGAGCUUUGUCUGCCCAGAGGCCAGCCUCAGAGACCAGCACUUAGCCUCGUUCUCAGCCUGGGGCCUUGAAGCCAGAGGGCCGGGAGGCCGCCGGCCGUGCCCAGCAGGCCCAGCAUGCAGGAGGUGGACAUCAGGCUGCAAGGCUGCUGCUGGAAUCAUUUCUCCAAUCAGUGUUUGGUGUAUUAUCAUUUUGUGAAUUUGGGUAGGGGGGAGGGGAGGGAUAAUUUAUUUUUAAAUAAGGUUGGAGAUGUCAAGUUUGGUCCACUUGCCAUGCAGAAAGAGGCCCACUAGGGGGCCCGUCGGGCUCCCUGUAGAGUGGGGGUGCCGUGACUAGCCUGUGCCCUGCUUGGGGCUAGAGGGAGGUGGGCAGGAUCUCAUGCCAACCCCCUCCAGCCCAUGACACUGUUUGGCCUUUCUUGAGGAGAAGAUGGGGUAUUCCCAUGCACCAGCCCCUAACUACGCCACAGGGAAACCCUGGAGCCAUCGUUGAAGCCGACAAGGCAGACCCUGGGUUAAGCAGAGAGAAGUUCAGAGCUCGGGAGGCGAGGCCUGGCCUAGCGUGAUGGGAAUGCCCGCCGCCCCCCGCCCCCCCCUCCACGCCGCUGCAGCUGAUCCACAGGACAGUGCCCCAGCCUGGACUGACCAACUUGGCAGCUGUUCUGGAUUUCGGCAACGACACUGUCAGGUCCUUGGGCUCUGCCUUCAGCCUGGACCAGAGGGAAGUGAGGCUCAAGGACCUUACCCAGGCUGUGGCAGCCACCCUGGGCAGCCAUCCUGGAAGCAAUAAAGCUCUUCCCUGAG